CUCUCUUUAUUUUUUUAUUAUACUAAAUAUAUAAUCCAAGAUCAAGAAAAUUACAAUUUAUUUUUCAUUCUGUAUUUUAUCUAGUGUCCUUGGAUUUUUAUUCCCUCAUGAACUAAACCUUGCUUCCCAAAUGUACUGGAAGAAAUUACCAUUCAGUAAUUUCAAUACCAGAGUUACUAAAGAGAAGGAAACGCUUUUGUGUCUGGAUAAUAAAUGCUGACCAUUUUGGUCUAAACGUUCAAUCAGAUGUGAAGUCUCUGAGAAGUGAUGCCUCAAGGUGAAGGUGCAUAAACUGUGCUCAUAAAUGAUGAGGUCAUAAGUCUAUCACCUACCCUUAUCGCUAGUUAUGCAGGCAUGGAGAUGUCAUUGACAACAGCUCUGGCUUGUCACUUUGUGGCAGGGAUUGAUUUCUGAAAACAUGACAGAAGAGACUAAUGGUUCAAGUGCAACUCAUUGGCUGCAAGGUUCCCCAGUAUGGGGCAUGUGCAAAUAGCAUAGGAUGAUAGACAAGAUCAGCAGCACCAAUGGGUUGGAGACAGCUCUAGCCCGAAUGUCCAACUGUAUAUGUGCUACAGAGGAAGAGCUAGAGAAGUUAUGGAGAUCUUUAACAGAUGCCAGAAAAAAGUAAGUGGAUCACAAUUAUUAAGAUAUUGAGUUAUUAAUAUGAUUGAAGUUUCAUUUUUGCUUUGUUCACAUUGUAGCUUGAUUAUUCUCUUGAAGUAAUAAAGUAGUUUAAAACUUUUAUUUUGAUUUUACAAGACCAUAUUUUCCAAAUGAGACUUUGGACUCUUACAAAAAAUGUGGAUUGUAAAAAGUUACUGGAUUCUUUAAGGUACUGCAUAUGUAAACUGUUUGAAACGGCAAGGCUGUGGGACUCUGCAAGUGCCAGGACAGACAUGUUUGAUAUUCAAUAUUUGGUAAAGUACUUGCCUAACUAACAGAUUUAAGCUUGAACUUCAUCACAAAAGCAGGUAGGAUUAUACACACAAGGAACAACACCACCCAGGAGAAAGAGGCAGAAAAAUAUGAAUCUCAAGACCAUCCUAUGGAUUUCUCUGGACAGUCUGAAUCCAUAUCAGAGGAAAGGUGAUAUAUGUUCUGUGCUGUUUUAUGCUAGAUAGAAGCAAAAGGAUUAUUAAAGUUUGAAGACAGCCCCGGCAUGAGACAUUAUCUCACAACUUUCAAAUAUAAAAAAAAAAGUAAUAAACAAAUGAAGAAAUUAAGUAAUGUGGAAGAAGGAGGAAGAGGAGAGUACUGUAAUAAGCAGAGGAAGUAUGAAUAAAUUUUCCAAUCCAUGAACACUAUUUAGAAGGGUGAAUAUUCACAGUUAGUCACCAACUGAAACGUCUUCAAGUGCAAUGAGUACUCUCCACGGAAACUAAGAUCCUAUUGCAUCGAUGUGAGCCAGUCAGUAGACCUUUGACAGAAAAAUUGGAAGGCUCACCUGUGAUACUGAUCUUGAAGAUGAAAGAUCCAAGUUUCUGGCCUAGUUCUUGGCAUGGAGAUCUGGAAGCAUAGUAAGACAAGGAGAUCUCGCUGUUCAACGUCAUCUGGGACAAAGCAAGUCUCAGAUCAAGGGAGACUGAGUUCUGAGGCCCGGUCAGGGCAAUUCUGGAGACUGGCGAAUAGAGGAAUGUCCUACUCCUCAAAACAUGGGGAAGUAUGAAUAAAUUUUCCAAUCCAUGAACACUGUCGAGAAGGAGUGAAUGCUCCAGUUAGUCAUCAACUUUAAUUCUUCAUGUUCAAUGAGAUAGGAAGUAUGAAUAAAUUUUCCAAUCCAUGAACACUGUCGAGAAGGAGUGAAUGCUCCAGUUAGUCAUCAACUUUAAUUCUUCAUGUUCAAUGAGAUAGGAAGUAUGAAUAAAUUUUCCAAUCCAUGNACACUAUCUACAAGGGUGAAUAUUCCAGUUAGUCACCAACUGAAACAUCUUCAUGUUCAAUGAGAUAGGAUUUACAGAGUCAUCUCCAAGAUAAAACCUAUACUAGUUGGGACAUCUAACGUAUGCUCUUCUUCAGAGUCGUUGAAAGAAUGAUGCAGUACCCUGUUUUCUGCCACAUCAGGAUAUACACAAGUCAUCACAAUUGUUAAAGAUCAAUGAGAAUCCUCUGAGGCUGCCUGACUGAAAUAAUGGAUGCCAAAGAGCAAAUGAAGGGCCAGUGGAUGGAAAAUGACUAAAUACUGAGGAAGGCUGGCUGAAGAAGGAUCAGUGUGAUAAGAUGCCAUCUUGAAAACAGGAGGAAUGAGAAACAUACUCAGAUAUGCAGAUAAGUGGUUUCUUGCUUAUAGAAAAAUAGUUCUUGCAAAACAAAAGGUAAAGCAACUCUAUCUAGUACUUUGCAAAAUAUGUCACAAAAUCGUCUUUAUGGAAGAACUGAUAUGGUCUAUCACCCAGUCCAAUAGUGAAAGACCAAUGAGAUGUGCCCAGAUCAAGUGAGGAAACCGAGGCAGUUGUAGAUAUUAUCUGAGGAUAAAUAUAUUACAGGAGAUAGAUUAUUACAUUGUCCAAAAAUGUUUCUUAUUAAAAUAGAGUUAUAUAUUAAAAUAUACAUAUAUGCUAAAUAGUAGAUUCUAUAUCCUGGAUGAAAUUUGAGUGAGGAACCUAACACUCUCAUUUUUAGGACAUUUAAGUGUUUUGUUGCUGUCGCUGUUCUCGUUUCUGCUGAAAAUAUUCUCCCUUAUACUUAGAGGGAUUCGUCUAUAGAAUUUCAAGAUGUUUUUCAAAAGCUCUAGUUGUAUUUACAGUGGCAUUCUAAUAGUUAAUAUUUUUUAAAUAAAAUCUUCCCUUUUUAAACACAUUUCCCCUUUCCAAUAAAGAACCAUAAUAGUUUUCAUGAAUUCUACCAUCAAAUAUGAACUUUGUCUAAAUUGAUUUUUACACUACUUCUCAACAUCAUCAUAACAAAAUAAAAGUGAAUGUCAUAUUCCUUGUAAAUUCCCUCUGCCUGGUAUUUCUGAUAUAGCUGUGGAGGUAUGUUCCCAGUCUUAAGAGCCAGGGGAAUUCUGGAGCCAGGGGAAAGAAUUAUACCCAAGAUCUCACAACAUGGGGUGAUAGAAAUUGUGUGAAAAUGACCUGCAAUUCAAUCAAACAUUUCUGUCUAAACAUUAUGUCAUUGUUUUUGCUUCCAGUAUUAUCUCUAGUAGCCAACUAUUGUAGGACAUAGUUAUUUGAACUAAAGACAUUUAAGGAAUCAUGGACUUUCUUUUACAUAGGUAGAAAUAUUACAUAUCUUUGAACUCUUGUAGUCAACCCUCAAACUGUAGACACAAUUGCUUAGUGUCUAAUAUCCUCUGAAGAUCGUAGUAGCUUUCAAACAUUUUGUAUUGCAGUUUAAGGAAGCCAAGUAUUAUUAUUUUGUAUUGUCCCUUUGCCCCAAAGGAUGUCUCAAUCUUCAGGGAAAUGAAAAUCAAAAGGACAUUGAGAUUCUGAAACCUCGCACCAGUCAGAAUGGCUUACAUCAAAAACUCAUGAGACAGAAGAUGUUGAUGAGAAUACAGAAUACUCAGAUAAUCACUCAGAAAUUUGGAGAUACAACCUGAAUAGCCAGCUAUACCAAUUCUGAGCACAUACCAAUAAGAUGAUCCAACAUAUAACGACAUCACAUGCUCCUUUACAUUCAUAGCACCCUUUUUUAUAAUAAGGAGAAGCUGGAAAAAACUCAGAUGCCAUUAAACAGAGGAAUGGAUACAGAAAUGUGGUACAUUUACACAAAAG
rnacentral:sRNA from 1 species